rnacentral:rRNA from 1 species
AGAACUUAGCAGAGAUGCUUUGGUGCCUUCGGGAACUCUGAGACAGGUGCUGCAUGGCUGUCGUCAGCUCGUGUUGUGAAAUGUUGGGUUAAGUCCCGCAACGAGCGCAACCUUAUCCUUUGUUGCCAGCGGUUAGGCCGGGAACUCAAAGGAGACUGCCAGUGAUAAACUGGAGGAAGGUGGGGAUGACGUCAAGUCAUCAUGGCCCUUACGAGUAGGGCUACACACGUGCUACAAUGGCGCAUACAAAGAGAAGCGACCUCGCGAGAGCAAGCGGACCUCAUAAAGUGCGUCGUAGUCCGGAUUGGAGUCUGCAACUCGACUCCAUGAAGUCGGAAUCGCUAGUAAUCGUGGAUCAGAAUGCCACGGUGAAUACGUUCCCGGGCCUUGUACACACCGCCCGUCACACCAUGGGAGUGGGUUGCAAAAGAAGUAGGUAGCUUAACCUUCGGGAGGGCGCUUACCACUUUGUGAUUCAUGACUGGGGUGAAGUCGUAACAAGGUAGGCGUAGUGCU